rnacentral:rRNA from 1 species
UACGGGGGGGGCAAGCGUUGUUCGGAUUUACUGGGCGUAAAGGGCGCGUAGGCGGCUUAACAAGUCACUUGUGAAAUCUCCGGGCUUAACUCGGAACGGCCAAGUGAAACUGUCAAGCUAGAGUGCAGAAGGGGCAAUCGGAAUUCUUGGUGUAGCGGUGAAAUGCGUAGAUAUCAAGAGGAACACCUGCGGCGAAGGCGGGUUGCUGGGCCGACACUGACGCUGAUGCGCGAAAGCUAGGGGAGCGAACGGG